CUUUACUGUAGCUUUGCAUUGGACUUUGAACCGGUCUGUGUAGGAUAGGUGGGAGGCUUUGAAGUGAGGACGCUAGUUCUCAUGGAGCCGUCCUUGAAACACCACCCUGAUUUGUUUGAGGUUCUAACCAUGGCCUGUGAAUCCAGGUCUGGGACCGUGCAUGGUAGGCAGUUUGACUGGGGCGGUCUCCUCCCAAAGUGUAACGGAGGAGUACGAAGGUACGCUAGGUACGGUCGGACAUCGUGCUAAUAGUGCAAUGGCAAAAGCGUGCUUGACUGCGAGUCCCACAAGACGAGCAGGUACGAAAGUAGGUCAUAGUGAUCCGGUGGUUCUGUAUGGAAGGGCCAUCGCUCAACGGAUAAAAGGUA
rnacentral:rRNA from 1 species